rnacentral:rRNA from 1 species
CGGUGUAGCGGUGAAAUGCGUAGAUAUCGGGAAGAACACCAGUGGCGAAGGCGCUCUGCUGGGCCAUCACUGACGCUCAUGGACGAAAGCCAGGGGAGCGAAAGGGAUUAGAUACCCCUGUAGUCCUGGCCGUAAACGAUGAACACUAGGUGUCGGGGGAAUCGACCCCCUCGGUGUCGUAGCCAACGCGUUAAGUGUUCCGCCUGGGGAGUACGCACGCAAGUGUGAAACUCAAAGGAAUUGACGGGGGCCCGCACAAGCGGUGGAGUAUGUGGUUUAAUUCGAUGCAACGCGAAGAACCUUACCAGGGUUUGACAUCCUGCGAAUCUCUUGGAAACAGGAGAGUGCCUUCGGGAACGCAGUGACAGGUGGUGCAUGGCUGUCGUCAGCUCGUGUCGUGAGAUGUUGGGUUAAGUCCCGCAACGAGCGCAACCCACGUCUUUAGUUGCCAGCAUUUAGUUGGGCACUCUAGAGAGACUGCCGGUGAUAAACCGGAGGAAGGUGUGGAUGACGUCAAGUCAUCAUGCCCCUUACAUCCUGGGCUACACACGUACUACAAUGCUACGGACAAAGGGCAGCAAGUUCGCGAGGACAAGCAAAUCCCAUAAACCGUGGCUCAGUUCAGAUCGUAGGCUGCAACUCGCCUACGUGAAGGCGGAAUCGCUAGUAAUCGCAGGUCAGCAUACUGCGGUGAAUACGUUCCCGGGCCUUGUACACACCGCCCGUCACACCAUGGAAGUUGGCCACGCCCGAAGCCGUUACUCCAACCCUUGUGGAGGAGGACGUCGAAGGUGGGGCUGAUGACUGGGGUGAAGUCGUAACAAGGUAACCGUAG